GGCCUGGUAGCACAACGGUUGAGCACUUGGCUGCUAACAGAAAGACUGGAGGUUCGAACCCACCCAGGGCCU
rnacentral:tRNA from 1 species